ACGUUCCUUUCCCUUUCCAGACCCUCCUCCUCCCACCAUCCCCAUCACCUGGAUCAUUGCUGGUCUGGCACUCCCUGUGGUCAUUGUGUGGUUGGAGCUGUGAUCUGGAGGAAGAAGUGUUCAAGGGUGUCCCAGGAGG